GACGAACGCUGGCGGCGUGCUUAAUACAUGCAAGUCGAGCGAGGUUACUGUUUUGGAUCCCUUCGGGGUGAAGAAGCUUUAACCUAGCGGCGGACGGGUGAGUAACGCGUGGGUAACCUACCCCAAAGUCCGGGAUAACAGCGGGAAACCGCUGCUAAUACCGGAUGUCUUUACCUUGGGGCAUCUUGAGGUAAAGAAAGGUAACGCUUUGGGAUGGGCCCGCGUCCCAUUAGCUAGUUGGUGAGGUAACGGCUCACCAAGGCGACGAUGGGUAGCCGGCCUGAGAGGGUGGACGGCCACACUGGGACUGAGACACGGCCCAGACUCCUACGGGAGGCAGCAGUAGGGAAUAUUGCGCAAUGGACGGAAGUCUGACGCAGCCGACGCCGCGUGAGCGAUGAAGGUCUUCGGAUCGUAAAGCUCUGUCCUUGGGGAAGAAGGUCUUCGGACUUGACGGUACCCAAGAAGAAAGCCCGGCUAACUACGUG
rnacentral:rRNA from 1 species